ACCAGACUCCUACGGGAGGCAGCAGUGGGGAAUAUUGCACAAUGGGGGGAACCCUGAUGCAGCGACGCCGCGUGGGUGAAGAAGCGCCUCGGCGCGUAAAGCCCUGUCAGCAGGGAAGAAAAUGACGGUACCUGAAGAAGAAGCCCCGGCUAACUACGUGCCAGCAGCCGCGGUAAUACGUAGGGGGCAAGCGUUAUCCGGAUUUACUGGGUGUAAAGGGGGCGCAGACGGCGAUGCAAGCCAGGAGUGAAAGCCCGGGGCCCAACCCCGGGACUGCUCUUGGAACUGCGUGGCUGGAGUGCAGGAGGGGCAGGCGGAAUUCCUGGUGUAGCGGUGAAAUGCGUAGAUAUCAGGAGGAACACCGGUGGCGAAGGCGGCCUGCUGGACUGCAACUGACGUUGAGGCCCGAAAGCGUGGGGAGCAAACAGGAUUAGAUACCCGGGUAU
rnacentral:rRNA from 1 species